AUACAACAGUGAUCAUGUGCUUAUUUCACUUCAGAGUGCCUGAGGAUGAUCGUUUAAAGCAGCACUAGAGUGUUGAAUUUGGAUCGCUUCUGGUUGGGUCUACUGCUCAGCUGUAUGAUCGACUGUCAUAUCAUCAAUGUCCAAUAAAAAACAUGUAUAUCCAAAACAUCUUUACAGAUGAUGUUCCAGAAGACUAUUAGAGCAUAGGUGUGAGAAUUUGAUGGCAUGCUGCCGCAGUAUUAGUAAUAGUGAGAUCAGGAUGUUG